CAAGAAAGCAGAAGUAUUUACCAUUUUGCUGCAAUACUACCUGUAACAUGAGGUCAUAUACGUGCCUCACACCGGACGGCAGGCUGAUGCGCGACGGAGAAGAAAGCAACUUGAGAGAUCCGUGCGUGAGGUACAUUUGCAGGAAAGGAAUACUCGUAACGCAGACGUGCCCAACGUACGCAGACUCGAAAUGCAGAGCUUCUCUUGUAGACGAAUGUGCGCCUUAUCCGGCAUGUUGCGGGGUUUCGAAAGUUUGUGAAGCUGGUUGAAAAA